rnacentral:rRNA from 1 species
GACGAACGCUGGCGGCGUGCUUAACACAUGCAAGUCGAACGGAAAGGCCCUGCUUUUGUGGGGUGCUCGAGUGGCGAACGGGUGAGUAACACGUGAGUAACCUGCCCUUGACUUUGGGAUAACUUCAGGAAACUGGGGCUAAUACCGGAUAGGAGCUCCUGCUGCAUGGUGGGGGUUGGAAAGUUUCGGCGGUUGGGGAUGGACUCGCGGCUUAUCAGCUUGUUGGUGGGGUAGUGGCUUACCAAGGCUUUGACGGGUAGCCGGCCUGAGAGGGUGACCGGCCACAUUGGGACUGAGAUACGGCCCAGACUCCUACGGGAGGCAGCAGUGGGGAAUAUUGCACAAUGGGCGGAAGCCUGAUGCGGCAACGCCGCGUGCGGGAUGACGGCCUUCGGGUUAUAAACCGCUUUCGCCUGUGACGAAGCGUGAGUGACGGUAAUGGGUAAAGAAGCACCGGCUAACUACGUG